UACGAAGGUGGCAAGCGUUGUUCGGAAUCAUUGGGCGUAAAGAGCACGUAGGCGGGUUUGUAAGUCGACUGUGAAAUCCCUGGGCUUAACCUGGGAAUGGCAGCCGAAACUGCAGAUCUUGAAUGCUCCAGAGGAUGGUGGAAUUCCUGGUGUAGAGGUGAAAUUCGUAGAUAUCAGGAGGAACACCGGAGGCGAAGGCGACCGUCUGGGGAGACAUUGACGCUGAGGUGCGAAAGCAUGGGGAUCAAACAGG
rnacentral:rRNA from 1 species